rnacentral:rRNA from 1 species
GUGCCAGCCGCCGCGGUAAUACGGAGGAUGCGAGCGUUAUCCGGAUUUAUUGGGUUUAAAGGGUGCGUAGGCUGUUAUAUAAGUCAGUGGUGAAAGUUUGCAGCUUAACUGUAAAAUUGCCAUUGAUACUGGUACUUUUGAAUACAAUUGAGGUAGGCGGAAUGUGUAAUGUAGCGGUGAAAUGCUUAGAUAUUACACAGAACACCGAUUGCGAAGGCAGCUUGCUAAAUUGUGAUUGACGCUGAGGCAC